rnacentral:rRNA from 1 species
CAGCCGCCACGGUAAUACGUAGGGUGCAAGCGUUAAUCGGAAUUACUGGGCGUAAAGCGUGCGUAGGUGGUGGUUUAAGUCCGUUGUGAAAGCCCUGGGCUCAACCUGGGAAUUGCAGUGGAUACUGGGUCACUAGAGUGUGGUAGAGGAUAGUGGAAUUCCCGGUGUAGCAGUGAAAUGCGUAGAGAUCGGAAGGAACAUCUGUGGCGAAGGCGACUAUCUGGGCCAACACUGACACUGAGGCACGAAAGCGUGGGGAGCAAACAGGAUUAGAUACCCGGGUAGUCCCUGUCUCUUAUAC